GUAAUCAACUAAGAAAGUCAUUUAUAUAUGUUUGACCACUUUUAAUUGAAUCUCAUAUUUUAUAUAACUAGUUAGGUUAAUAUAACCUUAGAUUAGUUUAAAAAAUUGAUGAGUUUUUUCUUUUUUAAAAUCAAUAAAUCUUUUUUAGUUUAAUGAUAUACACGGUAUAAAAUAAUUAUUCAAUAGAAAUUUAUCACUAUAUAUAUCAUACUAUUAAUUUAAAAAUUAUAUUAUGAUGUGGCGG
rnacentral:lncRNA from 1 species